GAGAAAGGCAGCUUUGGAGAUCUGAAUCUUGACACGGCAUGCAACAACAUGCAACAAUCUAAUGGUAAAGCACUUGUCUUUCCUUUUUACCUGGACCUUAAUUUAUGUUUGGCUGCUGAGAAAAUAAGAGGAAGAGAAAAUGAAUUUCAUCUAGAAUCUUAUGUGUGCAUGUCUAUGUUUUAGGCUUUUAGUUUCUGUUUGGUUGCUGAGAAACAAAGAAGCUUUCCAAUCAGAAAAUCUGAAAAGGGAAAGUUUUUAGUCACAUAAACCACCUGAACUAAAUUGUGAACUUAUUUUUUUUUGUUCAUAUUAUUUUUCUGUUAAGAUUUAAUAAGAUCUCUUUCGAAUUUGACCAAGAACACCUGAAAAUUGCAGUAAAAAUCACUGCUCUGUUUAAUUUUGUUUCCAUAUCAAAAGGGUUUCAGAAUUUUCCUUAUUUGGUUUCUAAAAUUGGACAAUGUUUUGACAGGAGGAACACCUGAGAUGUUUCGUCAGAAAGCCCCACCCAUGAACUUCUUUCCAUUUGUGGAAAAUUCUCGGAACAUGCCAACGGCGGUUAGAGACUUCAAAUCCAUGGAUUUGUUUCCUCAACAAGCUGGUUUUGGUCCCUCUGCCCCCACUCCCAGAGAAGAGGUCCCCAUGACGGCUGAUU
rnacentral:lncRNA from 1 species